rnacentral:rRNA from 1 species
UACGUAGGGUGCAAGCGUUAAUCGGAAUUACUGGGCGUAAAGCGUGCGCAGGCGGUUUUGUAAGUCUGAUGUGAAAUCCCCGGGGCUCAACCUGGGAAUUGCAUUGGAGACUGCAAGGCUAGAGUGUGUCAGAGGGGGGUAGAAUUCCACGUGAUAGCAGUGAAAUGCGUAGAUAUGUGGAGGAACACCGAUGGCGCAAG